rnacentral:tRNA from 1 species
GGUUCUAUAGUGUAGUGGUGAUCACUCCGGAUUUUGAUUGUGCAGGGCGUUCACUCUCUGUGCGAGAAACAUUCCGGCAACCCCGGUUCGAACCCGGGUAGGACCU